GGCGUGGAGGAUUGAAGCAUCGAAACAAAGAAAGCAGUGAUACAUAGCGGCAGUAGCACCCAAGCAAUUCAUACAUUAGCAUAUAUCCAUAUAUAUUCCAAAUCAACAAGAUGUACGGGACACAAUCUCACCAGGUAGAAGUGAAGAUACCAGCCAGCAAGGCCUGGCAGCUCUGCCGCGGUACCGAAAUCCCCGUCCUCGGCGGCCAACACAGCGAUGUUUUCGAAAAAGUCGAGGUGGUCGAGGGCAACGGGGGCCCUGGCACUGUUCUCAAGGUCACAUUCAAACCAGGGAAAGCUCCGGCCAACAUUACCUAUUUCAAGGAGAAAUUCACGGUUGUGGACAACGAGAAGCGAAUGAGACAAACGGAUGUAUGUGAAGGAGGCUACCUGGACUUAGGGUUCAACUACUUCCGCGUUCGAUUGGAGGUGAAGGAGAAAAGCGCCGAUUGCUGCGUCCUCGCUAUCACCUUGGAGUAUGACGUGAAGGAAGAAUGCGCGGCCAAUGCUGAGUUGGUCAGCAUCCAGCCCUUCGUCAAGGCCUUGGAUUUCACCGCCGAAUAUCUGCUCAAACACAAGUGAUCAUCAUCAUCGAUCGGAUAUAUAUAUAUAUAUAUCAAGCGGACCACAAACUAAAUACAUAUACCAAAUAAAAUAAAGCAGAUCGCGGAUCGAUCUGUCGAUCGAUGGAUGCCAAGGACUAAUAAAUAUCUGGACAUGCUCUUCUUUUGUGUGGUGUUGUUACUUUUUUCGAAUUUCGAAUCAAUCCUUGUUGAGCUGCCACUGUUGUUCAUUGGGGUGGGUGUUGAUGUUAACAGUGCACCGACUUCUAUAUAUAUAUGUAUCAGAGUGUUGCUUCUGAGAAAUGAGAAAAUAAUAUACUAUAUAUUUGUGGUCAAGUAUGUAUUGUCGAGUAA